UGGGGAAUUUUGGACAAUGGGCGAAAGCCUGAUCCAGCAAUGCCGCGUGUGUGAAGAAGGCCUUCGGGUUGUAAAGCACUUUUGUCCGGAAAGAAAUCCUUGGCUCUAAUACAGUCGGGGGAUGACGGUACCGGAAGAAUAAGCACCGGCUAAUUACGUGCCAGCAGCCGCGGUAAUACGUAGGGUGCAAGCGUUAAUCGGAAUUACUGGGCGUAAAGCGUGCGCAGGCGGUUUGCUAAGACCGAUGUGAAAUCCCCGGGCUCAACCUGGGAACUGCAUUGGUGACUGGCAGGCUAGAGUAUGGCAGAGGGGGGUAGAAUUCCACGUGUAGCAGUGAAAUGCGUAGAGAUGUGGAGGAAUACCGAUGGCGAAGGCAGCCCCCUGGGCCAAUACUGACGCUCAUGCACGAAAGCGUGGGGAGCAAACAGGAUUAGAUACCCUGGUAGUCCACGCCCUAAACGAUGUCAACUAGUUGUUGGGGAUUCAUUUCCUUAGUAACGUAGCUAACGCGUGAAGUUGACCGCCUGGGGAGUACGGUCGCAAGAUUAAAACUUAAAUGAAUUGACGGGGUCAUAGCUGUUUCCU
rnacentral:rRNA from 1 species